rnacentral:lncRNA from 1 species
UUCAUCUUUAUUUAUUAUUAUUAUUUUUUGAACAGUUUAUCUUUAUCUUCUAAACACCCUUCAACACACAAAACUAAAUUCUGCGGCCAAUGUCGUCACACUUUCCUUCUUAACUGUUUGAGAGCAUCAUAAGUCCAAGGUUUUUCAAUUCGUCUUCAAUUUCUUCCCCCUUAAAACCAUUCUUGAGUCCAAAAGAGGAAGAUCAAUUUAGAUGAAUCGAGUAUUAUUUAUUCACUCUCUUUAUAAAGACGAGAUCUCCAUAGCUUCUGUUUCCUUCGGUCUUCAAGGUAUGUAUUUAUUUGGCUUCUUUAAUUUUCUUUUUCUUUUUCUUAGUUAUAUAAGUGUCUGUCUUUUAUGAUUUAUAUUCAUAUUGAUGAUGAAUCAUAUAUAUAAAUUAAAAAGAAAACUAAGCAAGUAUUGAAGCAGCUAGCCAUAUCUUAAUCUUGUACUGCCUUCUUUUUACUAUAAGGGUUUUUAUUUUUAUUUUCAUUUCUAUCGAGUAUUAAUUUAAAUAAAAAAAGGUAUAAGUCUAUGAAAGUGUAAUUCCCAUGGUAUCCAUAAAAUAGUAGAUUGAAUGUGGAUUAGUGUCAGAUCCGCAUCAAAUCUGCAGUGCAACGCAUGGAUUUAAUCAAUCCAUAAAAUGGUGAAUUUUUGUAAAUAAUCCACAAAAUCGGACAAUGUGGGACCACAUACAAUCCGAUAUUUUACAAAUUUGGAAAGUGCAGGAAAUUCUUUGUAAGGAUAAUUUUGUGGGCGUCAUUAAUAAAAUAAUUGUAUUUAGAAAUGGCACAACCAAGUUAAUUAUGAUGUUACCAUAUAGGGUUAAUACUUGAAAAAAAUAAAAUAAAAUGAUUAUGGGGCUGUCGAAGGAGCAUAGCAAGUGAUUGUUGCUCAAAUUUGUUUGUCCUUAUCUUUUAUCUGAAGCGGCGUAUAAAUCUGGAUUCUCUUACUAUUAUACCUUUGGGACAAAACUAUUGUUACUUCGUGGGUUCUUCAAAUUAAUAUUUCUUGCUUUUUAAAUCAUUUUUGGAUGCUGGUGAGGAAGAUGAUAGAGAGAAUGGAGUACCAAUAUUUCACUCUCUUUAUAAGAAGUAAUCACCUCACGGUAUGUUUAUUUAUCUAGCAUUUAUUUGUUUAUUUUCUUUCCUUUAAUCACAUAAUCGUUAUUGCACUUUAAUGGCUAAAAUAGAACAUUUUAAAAUUAUUUCUUUGGCUAAAAUAGAACAUUCUAUUUCUUUGGUGUUGUUGUAAUAGAAAAUGAUAAAUGACAUACAUACAUACACACACACGCACACACAUAUGAAAAUUUCUAAUUUGAGAAUUCAAGAUUAAAUUAAAGUCUGGGAAGAGUUGGUAGUGAUGUAAAUGGAUUUUUACGUUGUUUUAAAUAUGUCUUGAAUUUUAAUGAAGUCUGGGAUUCUCAUAUUGGAAGUUAAACUAUAUAUUUAUAAAAGUAUAUACAUUGUUUUUCUCUAAUAAAAUGGUUGAAUGACAUUUUUCUUAAAUAAUGUAUAAUUAAAAAAUUAAAAAUUUACUUUGGAGAUCAUUUAUGAAGAUAUACAAUAAUGAGUAUUUUAUUAUAACUAAAAGAAGAACGAAUGAGGUCCAUCGAAUUACUGUAAACAAGCAUUCACAUUUUGCAAAUAUAUGAGCAUCCUUAUUAGAGAAGAAUUUGGGUUGAGUGUGUGUGUGUGUGCGCGUAUAUAUAUAUAUAUAUAUAUAUAUCUGCAUGUUAAAAUCAUUUAGACAAAAAAAAAAAAAAUGAACUCCAAUACACUAGAAGGUAAAAAUAAUGCUUUUUGGUCAGUAUUUGUUUUUUGUCUUUUCGCUCAAUUUGUAUUUCAAAAUCAUUUAGAGGUCCGAACCUAAGCAAAACAUUGAGUUCUAAUAUUAGUCUGUAUUUGCAGAACCCAAUAACCAUUUUUUGUUUUGGUUGUAUUAAGUGGAAUGACUCCACUCCUAAUUGUUAAAUCCUAUUAUAUUUUAAAAACGAAAAGAAAGCAAACAAUUGUCACGAUUUUGGCCAACAUAUAAUAGUUGUUUCCCUUUCUCUUUGGUUUAGCGAAGAAUAUAAUAAGAAUAAAUAAUUAGAAGUGAGGUCAUUCCAUAUAAUGCAGUAAGAUUGCUAAUAUUUGAAGUCCUCAUUUUAUUUACGAAAAAAAGGAUCACUUAAUGGGAAGCUCACUAUAUAUAUAGUGAGAGAGAAAGAGAGAGAGAGUUAUUAUCUGGUGAGUUUCUCACACUUUAAUAAAGUAACGUAUGAGCUGAAAUACAAGAAAAGCACGUGUCAAUGCAUCAUAUUUUGUCUUGUAGUGUAUUUGAAUUUGUGUUUUUAUAUUUUUUAGAUUAUACCUUAUCAUAUUAAAGUAAAGGGAGCCCCUAAGUUACAUUUAAUGUAACUUACACCACUUACAUGAACAGUGCGUGGUGUGGGGCCUACGCACUGUUCAUGUGAGUGGAUGUAAGUUACAUUAAAUGUAACUUAACAUUUGCCUAAAGUAAAGGAUCAUCAUAAGAAGUGCAAUCUACACACGUGCGCGCAUGCAUGUACAUAGGGAAAUUUCCAAUUCUUGAUUCUCGAAUGAGCCACUAAUUGAAAUCCAAAGAUCCAAAACUUUCUUUUUUUUAAUAUUUUGUUGGCUCCAACACGUGCAACAACAUAUGCAGCCGAAUGAUAACCUUUGGAUUUAAAUAUUUUGUUCUUAGAUGCUUUUCCAACCUAGGAACAAAAUGGUGGUCUUUGAAUCCAAAGGUUAACACCAUGUGCAGCCAACCAAAUGGAAGAAAAAUGAAAAAAAGGGGUUUGGAAUCCAACGGUCCAUCCGGAAAUCCUUGAUCGAAAAAUUCCCCAUAUAGAUGUUACAAUCUGGGGAUCUUGGGUGUAUAUAUAUAAUCUGGGGAUCUUGGGUAUACAUAUAUAUAUAUCACGCCAAGGUGCGGACAUCUGCAUCAAUUUUCAUGCACAACCUUUUAUAGAGUUGUAAAAUAGUUUACAAUGUUAUUUAGUAUAAAGAUUUGCGUUUGCACAAAAUUUCAUGCUAUCAUCUAUGAUCACUCUGUAUUUAUAGUAUAAUGCCUGGAAUCAAGUGAGUAAGGUUCAUUUCAGUUGUUAUUAUUAGUGAUUAAUUUUUUUUUUAUAAUUAUGUGAAUUAUUAUUAUUACUCCUUGAAUUUUAAUUUUUGGGCCUAAGAGUUAAAGCUUUCUGCGCCUAGUGAUUUUAUUUUUUUGGGUAGUUCUAAAACCCAAUAAGAAUUAGGUCUUCUUUUAUUGUAAGGUGGUAGACUUUCUUUCUUACAAAAAUUAGUUUUAGAGACUGCUCACAGAAUGAAGAUUCUUGGAAAAUGUUAUGAGGGAAAGAGAGUAAAGAGGUAUUUUUUUUUAAUAUCUCAAUUUACUUGUUAAGUUUACUGUAAGGUGGCUAAACUUUCUUUCUCACAAAAAUAUGUCGUGGGAUAUAUCUAUGUUAUAGAAUGAACUUAUGAGAGGACGAUUUAGUUUGAUAAAGAUCAGUUUUGACUUAUUGUGUUCUUUUAAGAAACAGUAAGGAAUAAUUAAGUUUUUUCGAGGUUUUGUGUACAUAUGAUAGUGACCUACUCCAAAACGAUUUAAAAUAAUGCAUUUUUUUUAUUUUUGCAAAUAUGUAUGUUUUUGUACUGAAACUAGACAUUGUAAGGUCUCUUAGAAUUUUUUAAAUUCAAAUAUACUUAAAUUCGAAUUUUAAUGGAUUUUUGAAUCAUACAAUUGGAUAUUAAAAAUUUACGGUUUCUGUAAUGUUGCCAAAUGAUGAAAAACUUUUGACCAAUCAAACCUUCUUUAAAAAUCAUGAACUUUUGCAGAUGGACCUUUUUACACGGCAUAUUAGAUACUGAGGUCUUAGUUCCUCGUUUCUAGUUAAUAUGAAUUAACGAGUGAAAGGGACUUAAUUUGGGAUUUUUUUUAUGGCAUGAUUAAAUGGCCUAAAAAUCAAGUUUAUUUUUAAUAGAUUUUGAAUGCAAUUUGCCUUGAAAUUUUACUGUAUACCUUUAUGUGCCUAUAUGAUCCCUAUGAAAUUUCAUAAAUAUUGGAUAUUGAUUUUUUUUUCUUAUUAAAACAAUCUGAGAUUGAGGAUUGGUUAGUAACUUUUUCUGUUAUAAGGAGAAUGGAAAGCAAGAUUUGUGAUAUUACUUGAAAUUGUUUCUUAAAGACAUAGGAGCUGAGAAUUUUAUGUGAUAUUUUUAGUUGUAUCAUGAAUAUCAUCUAAGGUAUUAAACAAAAAUAAAUAAAUAAGUGCUAAGGGUGAUAAGCAUGUUGAAACAAGGAAAUUAUCUUGUAAAGUAAAUUUGGACUCGUUUAUCAUGAUUAAGACCCAUAGUGCUUAAUAGUUUAUUGUUACAUUUUCACAGGAGAUUAGUCUUUGAUGUUCAGUUAUGAUGAGUAUGUUUAUUGUUGUGACUGCCAAGAGUAAUCUUUGAUGUUCAAUUACGGUGACUAGGUUUAUUGUUGUGACUGCCAAGAAGUAAAUAAGCUAAACUUUUAACUACAUUCACUUUGAACAUGUGUGUGUGUGUGAGUGCUGUCUUAAAGAGGUUUUUUUUUUAAUGUUUAUUAUAAGAUUUGUGAUACAGAUAUGUGAUUAAGUGUUUGUUUUAUCCAUUAGAAUAGGCAUGUAUGAUGUUAUGUUAGGAAUUGCAUUCAAAGUAAUGUAUGAAGCAAUUUUUUCCGUACAAAAUAUCUUGUGUUCUAGGAUGCCCAACAUAUUCUUUUAAUUGUCCAUUUGUGUGUUUAUUUGGAGUGUUAGUUAUAAUUUAAUAAUCAAAAUGUAUGACAGUGAUAAUUUACAUUGAUUAUGAUAUAGUAGAGAUGGAUUUGUCAAAGCCAAAUCAUUUGAACCAAAACUCAAACUAAACCCAAAGUAAAUUAGGUGGAUUGUUUUUUGGUUUCGGUAGUAACAAGUGUAGGGUAGCUUGGAUUGAAACCCUGACGAAUUUGCCUAGAAUUUCUAAUAAUUAAGAUUUUUUUUUUGAAUUUUGAAACAUUUGAGUGACAAAAUACUAUGUGCAUAUUAUAAUUUUAUUAGUUAGUUGUACUACAAAGUAUAGAAGUUCUCAAUAUUUUGCACAAUUGCUAGACACCAUGCUUUUUAAUUUCCAAUUACAAAUUAUUCAAGCCGAAGAUGCCCAGCUGGCCAAGAUUAAUUCAAUGAAUUUGGAGAGCACAAAUCUCAAAAUUAUUGUACUAUUACCAUUUGAGUUGCCUGUCAAUUAAAUAAUAAUAGUGGUAACCUCACUUUUCAAUUACAAAUUACUAACACAAAACAAGUAAAUUUUAGCCACAAGCAUAAACCGGGUCUAUGCAAUUUCGGAAACCACUCAGAAACUUUAUUAUUACUCUUUUGUUGUUGUUGCAACUUGAUCAUCAUCAACUGCUCAGCUUAUUGUUGCAUACACUGCAAAUUCUUUGUUCAUGGGUUGUGUCUAAACAUGUCCAAAGAAAUCACCAUCAUCCUCUUCACAAACUACACACUCUUUUUGAAUACUUUGGCGAACAAUGAGUCCAAGACUUGUAAUGUCUGUGAUGAAUUAAUUGAAGGCAUCAGCUUACGCUGUAAUAAUGCUACAGAUUGUGAAUUUUAUUAUCAUGUUGCCUGUUGAUACCCCUACACAAGAAGCUUGAAACACAAGUCUCACUGAUGAUAAUGAUUUGGUAUAUUUAAUGAAGAACAAUGCGCUGUUUUAAGUGUUUCGAAUAUGCAAGCGCCACGAUUACUGUGAAGAUUCAUUCUGUAGGUUUAGUAAGUGUAAUUGGAAUGUUCGUAUUGAAUUUAUUCCUCUGCCGCUUGUUGUAAGACAUUAAAGUUACCAAUUGCAUCAUCUUAUGCUUACGGAUUGUGUAAAAGUUUAUGUGUGUAAACAGGAAGAACUCCUAAGGAUCAUGUUUAUCACCGUGGGGAAUGCGGCUUCCUUGCUCAUACUGAAUGCCCCUUAUGUGAGGUAAGUUAACUUUCACCUACAUUUUACCUCAUAAAUUAGGAAUUUAGUGAUUCAAAAUUGUGUUAUUGCUGAAUAUGUUCUGCUUGGCUCAAUAAUUGAAGUAAAUCUAUGAAUAUGUUGUAACAACGCAAGUUUUUAUUAUUGGUAACAAUUUUGUCAUUUACACUCCUCAAAUGUUGCGUAAGAUGACAGUUGUAACCAAAAAAAGAGAAAUUUAUCUUUAAUUAUAGAGCAAUGCUAACUAGCCAAAAUAACGGCAGAGGGAAGACAGAAACGGCAGCACAUGUUGCCGUUUCCUAUCCUCUCUCUCUUCUGUUAUGGGCCCACAAUAAAUUUAGAAAAAUGAAUAUAUAAUGGCGCACAUGCGUGAAUAAAGUGAAAACAUUUUUUUCUGUUAUUGGACAAGAGUUUUAACGCUCCAUAAUGAUUAAAGUGGGAGGCAAAAUCGAGUUAUUUACCACAACUAAUAUCUGCAUUUCUAGUCCUGCAUUUGAUCGAUUUCAAUAACAUAAAAAAAAGAAAAUCUACAAAAUCUCAAUCUCUUGGCUCUGUGUUGUGUCGAGGGCAAAGGAAAAUCUGCAAGGUUGGUUGGCCUGGUCAUGACAAAAGAAAACCUGCAAGGUUGCUGUGGGUAUAGCUUUUAUCACGGGAAAAAAAAAACGCAAACAAAUCGUUUGCUCGAUGUAAAAAUAGCUGGUUCUGUGUGAUGGUGGGUGUAACUUUUGUCAAUAAGAGAUGAGAUUGCAGCAGCUCUGAUAUCCUUCUUGGACUUCUCUUUUGUUUUGUUUUUUAAUUAAUAUUUACCUUUUUUAAAAGUAAUUGUGGGCCCAUGAAGAGGAAAUGAUAAGUGAACAAAACGACAGCAAGUGACUGUCAUUUUUGUCUUCCCUCUGUCAUGACUAUGUUCACUUAUCAUUUUCCUUAAUUAUAUAGGCAAAGAAAACUGUGCCUACAUGGGUUCUGUUUAAGGAUGGCAAAAACUAAGUCUAGGUUCAGCCUUUCUGGUUCCGGACUCAUAUGCCAAUUUGUCUUCUUGGAUAUGGAUUAGAACCCAGAUUUUUUAACUGCAGGUCCGAAGCGGGUUCAACUCGGAAAAAGUUUGGGUUCCCGGAUUCUGGAUCUUAAACCCGAGUUGUUUGGUGAAGGGAGGAAGAUGAAUUCUCCAAGCAUGCUACUUUUGGCUCUUUGGAAUUUGCAGAAAGAGUAAAAGGUAGAACAAAUUUAUGAGAUCUCAACUAAAUUUACUUACAUCAAUAAUAAACUUUACAAUUAUAUCAAUAUUCUGUGUUUGAAUUCUGUAUUUGGCUACUCACAACAACAAAAACUUCAAUAAUUACCGAAGCGCCGACAAAAAGAGGCUAGUGGUUUCUUUGAGAUAUCGACUGAGGCACUGGGGUGGCGGCUAGUGUGGGGCUUUAGGGUUUGUUCAGCGUUUUUGUUUUUGUUUUUGUUUUUGUUUUUUUGUAACUUUUUGCUUUAUAUUUAUAUUUUAUAAUAAAAAUUAAUUAAUUAAUAAAUCAUAAAAUUCGGGUCUGGUUUUCGGAUAUUCGGGUUUAGCUGAACCCAGAACUCAACCCGGAAACAUCCGAGUUUUAAAAAAGGCUUUCGGAUUUCGCAUUUUUAUACAUCUGGACCGGGUUGAACUCAGACCGAAUCAUUCGGGUUUGUUCGAGUCAGGUCUAGAAAAAUUUGCCAUCCCUAGUCAUGUUAAUAAGAGAAUAACAUCAAAGAAUAACAACAUAAAUGAAUUGCUGAAGCCUAGAGCUUUAUGAAGUGGGAAAAUGACAAGUGAACAUAGCCACGAUAGAGGGAAGAUAGAAACAGUAGCCACUUGUUGUCGUUUCGUUCACUUAUCGUUUCCUCUUCAUGGGCCUACAAUUAUUUUAAAAAAAGUAAAUAUUAAUUAAAAAAUAAAACAAAAGAGAAGCCCGAGAAGGAUAUCAUAGCUGCUGCAAUCUUAUUUCUUCUAUACUUUUUCUCUACUCUAUCUUUUAUUAACAAAAGCUAUACCUACCAUCACACAGAAUCAACUAUUUUUACAUCGAAGCAAAUGAUUUGUUGGUGGUUUUCUUUUGCCGUGACAAAACCUCGACAAUUUUCUUUUGCUGUGACCACGCCAACCAACCUUGCAGAUUUUCCCUUGCCCUCGGCACAACACAGAGCCAACAUAUUGCAGAUUUUUUAUUACAUUUUUUUUUAUGUUAUUGAAAUUUUGCAAAUGCAGGGCUGGAAAUGCAGAUAUCAAUUGUGGUAAACAAUUUGAUUUUGCCUCCCAUUUUAAUCAUUAUGGAGCGUUAAAACUCUUGUCCAAUAGUAAGAAAUUCUUUUUCACUUGCAUGUGCGCAAUUAUAUAUUCAUUUUUUUUUAAACUUACUGUGGGCUUAUAACAAAAGAAGAGGACAAGAAACGGCAUCACAUGUUACCGUUUAACAACUUUUGUGUUAAAAUAGUUUAACAACUUUUGUGUUAUUAGUUGUUUAAGUGCUGCACAGAUUGCUGCAUAAAGUAAUCAUCUCGAGACAUUAAGCUUGCUUUUUUAGACUUAAUAUUACAGUAGCCUUUUUCACACCUCUUCAAAAUUCUUAUAGAACUCUUUAUUAAUUGAAAGUAUUUAAAUAAUUAAAGAUAAUUUUUUUGUUGUUUUGGAAUGAAAAUCCAAUUAAACAGUUAAAUAAAUUAUUCUUACAACAAAUAUUUUAGGAAGAAGAACACAUAUGUUUCCAAGGUUUAGAGAUGCUCAUGUAAUAAUAGAAAUAGAAAUAGAAAUAUAAUAUUAAAAUAAAUGUAUUAAUAUAUAUGUUUCUGUUUAAGGAUGGCAAAAACUAAGUCUAGGUUCAGCCUUUCUGGUUCCGGACUCAUAUGCCAAUUUGUCUUCUUGGAUAUGGAUUAGAACCCAGAUUUUUUAACUGCAGGUCCGAAGCGGGUUCAACUCGGAAAAAGUUUGGGUUCCCGGAUUCUGGAUCUUAAACCCGAGUUGUUUGGUGAAGGGAGGAAGAUGAAUUCUCCAAGCAUGCUACUUUUGGCUCUUUGGAAUUUGCAGAAAGAGUAAAAGGUAGAACAAAUUUAUGAGAUCUCAACUAAAUUUACUUACAUCAAUAAUAAACUUUACAAUUAUAUCAAUAUUCUGUGUUUGAAUUCUGUAUUUGGCUACUCACAACAACAAAAACUUCAAUAAUUACCGAAGCGCCGACAAAAAGAGGCUAGUGGUUUCUUUGAGAUAUCGACUGAGGCACUGGGGUGGCGGCUAGUGUGGGGCUUUAGGGUUUGUUCAGCGUUUUUGUUUUUGUUUUUGUUUUUGUUUUUUUGUAACUUUUUGCUUUAUAUUUAUAUUUUAUAAUAAAAAUUAAUUAAUUAAUAAAUCAUAAAAUUCGGGUCUGGUUUUCGGAUAUUCGGGUUUAGCUGAACCCAGAACUCAACCCGGAAACAUCCGAGUUUUAAAAAAGGCUUUCGGAUUUCGCAUUUUUAUACAUCUGGACCGGGUUGAACUCAGACCGAAUCAUUCGGGUUUGUUCGAGUCAGGUCUAGAAAAAUUUGCCAUCCCUAGUCAUGUUAAUAAGAGAAUAACAUCAAAGAAUAACAACAUAAAUGAAUUGCUGAAGCCUAGAGCUUUAUGAAGUGGGAAAAUGACAAGUGAACAUAGCCACGAUAGAGGGAAGAUAGAAACAGUAGCCACUUGUUGUCGUUUCGUUCACUUAUCGUUUCCUCUUCAUG